GAUUAAUUUGUCAUAUAAUUUGUAGGUAAACAUAUGCACGGGUCGUGGAUGUAUUGGUUUGUUCAAAAAGUCAUAUCUCAUGAUUAAUGUUCAUCCACAACUGUUGCUGAUUGUCUUGUAGCUGCUGAUGUAUUACUACAUUUUAUGUAUUAAGACUGAUUGUGUUAAGACUGAUUAUGCCUUAUAGCUGCUGAUGUGUUAAGACUAAUGUAUUAAGACCGAGUAUGUGUGUGUGUUAUUGGUUAUUUGAUAUGGAUUGUUGUCUUGUAGCUGCUGAUGUAUGUGAAUUGUAUUGUGAAGUUUGUAAGUUUUAAUUCUAUGGCUUCUUGUAGUAACUUUCAUUUA